rnacentral:rRNA from 1 species
UUAGAGUUUGAUCCUGGCUCAGGACGAACGCUGGCGGCGUGCCUAAUACAUGCAAGUCGAACGAGACUUUUUAAUUGAUGCUUGCAUCAGCUAAAGAGCCGAGUGGCGAAUGGGUGAGUAACACGUGGGUAACCUGCCUUGAAGCGGGGGAUAACAUUUGGAAACAGAUGCUAAUACCGCAUAACCACAAAAACCUCCUGGUUUUUGUGUCAAAGAUGGUUUUGCUAUCACUUCAAGAUGGGCCCGCGGCGUAUUAGCUUGUUGGUGAGGUAACGGCUCACCAAGGCAAUGAUACGUAGCCGAACUGAGAGGUUGAUCGGCCACAUUGGGACUGAGACACGGCCCAAACUCCUACGGGAGGCAGCAGUAGGGAAUCUUCCACAAUGGACGCAAGUCUGAUGGAGCAACGCCGCGUGAGUGAAGAAGGUCUUCGGAUCGUAAAACUCUGUUGUCAGAGAAGAACGUGCGUGAGAGCAACUGUUCAUGCAGUGACGGUAUCUGACCAGAAAGUCACGGCUAACUACGUGCCAGCAGCCGCGGUAAUACGUAGGUGGCAAGCGUUGUCCGGAUUUAUUGGGCGUAAAGGGAACGCAGGCGGUCUUUUAAGUCUGAUGUGAAAGCCUUCGGCUUAACCGAAGUCGUGCAUUGGAAACUGGGGGACUUGAGUGCAGAAGAGGAGAGUGGAACUCCAUGUGUAGCGGUGAAAUGCGUAGAUAUAUGGAAGAACACCAGUGGCGAAAGCGGCUCUCUGGUCUGUAACUGACGCUGAGGUUCGAAAGCAUGGGUAGCAAACAGGAUUAGAUACCCUGGUAGUCCACGCCGUAAACGAUGAAUGC